rnacentral:lncRNA from 1 species
CUGUGCUUUGCCUUCAGUCCAUGUGGGUCUCUGGAGAGAAAUGGGAGCAAAGGAGCUGUUCUGUGGAUGAGGACACAGCUGGCUGGGCCCAUGUUUUUGUACUGGAGAUGUAGAGAAUCAUCAGGAAGGCCUCGAGAUUCAAUCUGAAGAUUCCACAUCAAGGAGAAAUGGCCAUACUCCUAUGUCUUGUCUUUUGAACCUUUUCUGUUUGUUUGGAGUGUGGUUUUCUGUUCUCCAGAGGACUCUUUUCAGGUGGGAAAAUAUACUGAA